UUCGCCCUUAGAGUUUGAUCCUGGCUCAGGACGAACGCCGGCGGCGUGCCUAACACAUGCAAGUCGAGCGGAUGAAGUUCCUUCGGGAAUGGAUUUAGCGGCGGACGGGUGAGUAACACGUGGGCAACCUGCCUCAUAGAGGGGAAUAGCCUUCCGAAAGGGAGAUUAAUACCGCAUAAGAUUGUAGUACCGCAUGGUACAGCAAUUAAAGGAGCAAUCCGCUAUGAGAUGGGCUCGCGACCCAUUAGCUUGUUGGUGGGGUAAUGGCCUACCAAGGCUGCGAUGGGUAGCUGGUCUGAGAGGACGAUCAGCCACACUGGAACUGAGACACGGUCCAGACUCCUACGGGAGGCAGCAGUGGGGAAUAUUGCACAAUGGGCGAAAGCCUGAUGCAGCGACGCCGCGUGGAGGAUGAAGGCCUUCGGGUCGUAAACUCCUGUCUGGGGGGAUGAAUUUUUGACAGUACCCCCGGAGGAAGCCCCGGCUAACUACGUGCCAGCAGCCGCGGUAAUACGUAGGGGGCAAGCGUUGUCCGGAAUUACUGGGCGUAAAGCGCGCGUAGGUGGCUUGUUAAGUCAGGUGUCAAAAUGCGGAGCUCAACUCCGCAGCGCACUUGAAACUGGCAGGCUUGAGUGCAGGAGAGGAAAGUGGAAUUCCUAGUGUAGCGGUGAAAUGCGUAGAUAUUAGGAGGAACACCAGUGGCGAAGGCGACUUUCUGGACUGCAACUGACACUGAGGCGCGAAAGCUAGGGGAGCAAACAGGAUUAGAUACCCUGGUAGUCCUAGCCGUAAACGAUGGGUACUAGGUGUUGGGGGUGACAAUCCUCCAGUGCCGCAGUUAACGCAUUAAGUACCCCGCCUGGGGAGUACGGCCGCAAGGCUGAAACUCAAAGGAAUAGACGGGGGCCCGCACAAGCAGCGGAGCAUGUGGUUUAAUUCGAUGCAACGCGAAAAACCUUACCAGGGCGUGACAUCCUCUGAAGCUAUAAGAGAUUAUAGUGUCCCUUCGGGGCAGAGAGACAGGUGGUGCAUGGUUGUCGUCAGCUCGUGUCGUGAGAUGUUGGGUUAAGUCCCGCAACGAGCGCAACCCUUAUUCUCAGUUGCCAGCACGCAAAGGUGGGCACUCUGAGGAGACUGCCGGUGACAAACCGGAGGAAGGUGGGGAGGACGUCAAAUCAUCAUGCCCCUUAUGUCCUGGGGUACACACGUGCUACAAUGGCCUGAACAACGGGCGUGCGAAGGAGCGAUCCGGAGCAAAUCCCUUAAAUCAGGUCCCAGUUCGGAUUGCAGGCUGCAACUCGCCUGCAUGAAGCAGGAGUUGCUAGUAAUCGCGGAUCAGCAUGCCGCGGUGAAUGAGUUCCCGGGCCUUGUACUCACCGCCC
rnacentral:rRNA from 1 species